CCUACGGGUGGCUGCAGUAGGGAAUCUUUCACAAUGGGCGAAAGCCUGAUGGAGCAACGCCGCGUGCAGGAUGAAGGCCUUCGGGUUGUAAACUGCUUUUAUAAGCGAGAAAUAUGAUGGUAACUUAUGAAUAAGGAUCGGCUAACUACGUGCCAGCAGCCGCGGUAAUACGGAGGAUGCGAGCGUUAUCCGGAUUUAUUGGGUUUAAAGGGUGCGUAGGCGGGCUGUUAAGUCAGCGGUAAAAGCCCGGGGCUCAACCCCGGCGAGCCGUUGAAACUGGCUGUCUUGAGAUGUCGAGAGGUAUGCGGAAUGCGCAGUGUAGCGGUGAAAUGCUUAGAUAUUGCGCAGAACUCCGAUGGCGAAGGCAGCAUACCGGCGGCGAUCUGACGCUGAGGCACGAAAGCGUGGGUAUCGAACAGGAUUAGAUACCCGGGUAGUC
rnacentral:rRNA from 1 species